GUAAGUGUAGCUGAGGUAACUGCAAUAUUUGCACUCGUCAUGAUCAUAAUGAUGAUACUAAUAAGUUUUCAUGGCAGGUGCGUGAACCCGAUAUAAAAGAAUUAAAUUGAAAAGGACUCGAAUGAGAAUUUUGGCCUUGUAUUCAUUUGUCAUAAAAAGAAAGGAGAAAUGUCUUGAUGGGGACAAGUGGAUGAGAUAUUGGAGAUGGGCACCCCGUGAAACAAGAUGUUUUUCAAGGUUAUGCGUUGGACUGAU